rnacentral:rRNA from 1 species
CAGCAGCCGCGGGAAUACAGAGGGUGCGAGCGUUAAUCGGAUUUACUGGGCGUAAAGCGUGCGUAGGCGGCUUUUUAAGUCGGAUGUGAAAUCCCUGAGCUUAACUUAUGAAUUGCAUUCGAUACUGGGAAGCUAGAGUAUGGGAGAGGAUGGUAGAAUUCUAGGUGUAGCGGUGAAAUGCGUAGAGAUCUGGAGGAAUACCGAUGGCGAAGGCAGCCAUCUGGCCUAAUACUGACGCUGAGGUACGAAAGCAUGGGGAGCAAACAGGAUUAGAUACCCGCGUAGUCCCUGUCUCUUAUAC